rnacentral:rRNA from 1 species
GACGAACGCUGGCGGCGUGCUUAACACAUGCAAGUCGAACGAAGUGGCGAACGGGUGAGUAACGCGUAAUCAACCUGCCCUUCAGAGGGGGACAACAGUUGGAAACGACUGCUAAUACCGCAUACUGAAUGAGGGGAUUGCGUGUGAAUAGCUAGUGGGAGGGGUAACGGCCCACCAAGGGGAUGAUCAGUAGCGGGUUGGAGAGGAUGAAAGGCCACAGUUGGACGGAGACACGGCCCAGAGUCCUACAGGAGGGAGCAGUGGGGAAUAUUCCGCAAUGGACGAACGUGUGUCGGGGCAACGCCGCGUGUGUGAUGACGGCGUUCGGGGGGUAAAGAGCUGUUUCACGGGACGCGGUACCGGGAUAGAAAGCCACGGCUAACUACGUGCCAGCCGCCGCGGUAAUAC